rnacentral:tRNA from 1 species
GCUCCGGUAGCUCAGUUGGAUAGAGUGGUGGACUUCGAAUCCAGCGGUCGCAGGUUCGAAUCCUGCCCGGAGCG